AAACCUUAUCAUUACUCUCUCUCUCUCACUAGCUCUUCUCCAGUAGUCCGUCCGUCCUUCACCUCGCUCCUCAGCAGCUCCAUGUAUGGAGCUUUCCUAGCUGGCGCCUACAACAAGCAAGGAACCAGCAGCAAGCAAGCAAGAUCCAGUACUACUCCUCCCACUCAUACUGUCAUCCUAUCUAGGGUUUUGCUCUGGCUGACUCGAUCCCCGGCCGGCCCAAUCUAUCGAUCCGCUUCUUCUUCUUCUUCAUUCUAACCGGCCAGGCCAGGGCCGCCCCGGCCCGGCCGGCCUUAUAUAUACCUAGCUCUCUUGCUUGCCUAGAUCGAUCCAUGUAGCCAGCCAGCUAUAGCCCGGCCGGCCCCUUCCCAGGUCUCAUCACCUCCGAUCCCUUAUUAGCUCGUGCCCCGGCAAUCUUCACCUUACCUUGUUCAAUUCGCCUGCUAUAUGCUACUUUCUCUCUCGAUAUACGCGAGUGUAGAUGGAUCAAUCGAUCCUCGACUCACGCAUCUCCGUCCAUCCCCUUCUUUGUCCGGCGGCGGCGGCGGCGGCGGCUACUGUGGUGUACUACACGUGUGGCGCGUGGAAAGAUAAGCAGAUCGUGCGUGCAGUCCGGUUCUUGAUUCUUCGCUUCUCUAUAUAUCUCUUCCCUUUUUGAUCUAUCCUUCCUCACGGUGUCUAAUUUGAUGCGUUAAGUUCCUCUUCUUCUUGAUUCAAAUAAGCUCCUCUUUCAUUCGUGUAUAUCGAUCCAAACAUAUGUAUGGAUGUGGGGUCUUUCUUCCCCUCUUGACGGCCGGGAUUCAGAUAUUAGUCAUCAGAAGCAUGUACUGCAGAUCUCUCCAUCUGUGGACCUUCAUUAGCUUCCUGCCGGAUCACCACGGAAGAAGCUACACGGGUUAUUAUGAAGCAAACAGUCGGUGCUUGCAGGUGCAGCACCAUCAAGAUUCACAUCAAACUCAUCUUCAGUUAUGCGCUGGUUCGCACUGCAUACCUGUUGAGAUGAGAAUCUUGAUGAUGCUGCAUCAGCAGACACUCACUCAUCACCUUGAAGCUAAUAAGGGUGAGAGGAUCCAUCCGGUGCAGCAAUUGGGAACGAACGACCAAACUGAAGAUAAAUCCGAAGUGUUUAUAUUUUGCCUGAUGUUGGGCCCAGAAAGAAGCAGCAUUCAGCAGAUGUGUUGUGAUUUGCCCUUUCCUCACUCACUCCAUUUCAACUGGCAUGCAUCGUCAAACCCUCAUAUUCUCAAGGUAGGCGAGUCUGAUCUUGCUUGGUUUUAUUUCCAGGUGGGAGAACCAAGCUAUAUGCUUGAUGAUUAACGAGGCCAGGCCGGGGCACCAUGAUUUUAUGGUGUAUUAUAUAUUAUGAGAUUAUUAUUAAUUGCGGGUUCAUUCAUUCCCUGCUGCUUUGAUCUGCACGGCAGAAAGCGGAAGGAAGAGCUCACCAAUUCCCUUUGCUUGGCACAUCAUUGUGUUGUGCACAUUUGCUGAUGUUGAGGAUAAUUUCCUCUGGAAGAUCGAAGUGGCUGCUGGACAUCAUUAAGCUUACGCCGAGCUUAAAGGUUCUGGUGUUUUCCCGGGCCCCUUUUUGAAGUGAGAUACAUCUUUGGUCCAUAUCCUCCCUCGAUUAAGAUUAGUCCAGUACUACUGGUAUGUAAGAUUGACCACAGCACACAUGCAGAGCUAGCAUCAUCAUCCUAUUAUUAGAGCUAGCUAGGGAUCGGAGGGACAAAUUAAUAAACACAGUCAUCAAACAUUAGUUAUGACUAAUUAGUUAGUAUACGUAUGCGAAGAGUUCUGUUUCCUUAAUCAUUCUCUGUCGUCUAUAUAUAAUGCAUAUACUUUAUUUCUUCUUGUCCCAAUAUAAUGCAAACCCAACACUGCUGCACUCGCGUCGGCAUCAUCACCUGACGAUUGACGUACAGAUAUGCUGAUCUACAAAAUAUUCCCAAUCAUCAUUAGCUGAGAUGUUGUGUCACCCUAGCUAGCUGCAUAUAUUCUGUAGUUGUAUCUGCAGUACUCUCUGCUGCUACCUCGCUCAGACAUUAUAUAUGCUUGCCUAUUAAUUUGCUCCUGAUGCCUGUGUGCGUUUCCUCCUACACACAACCAAAUGCAAAGUGCAGGCAUCCUAUCUCCCUCACCAGAGCCUACUUUAUUUUUUCUUAAUCGGUACUGUAGUCAUCAUAAGCUAGCUUAAUCGUUCCUGGUAAUAGAUGGUAUAUAAUAAUGUAAAACCUUUAGAAAAAUGGGACUGACCAAUAAGUCUCUCCGAGAUUUGUGUGUGAUAGGUAAGAUGGAAGGGUAUCUUAGCUUAUUGUGGUAUCUAUUUUAUUUAUUUAUUUAUUUAAAAUUCUCUUCUGAUAAUGUGAAUAUAUGUGCUGUUCAUGAGUUCGUCAUGCAGUGCCAUGGUCCACACUGCGGCUACCAAGCUGCAGCAGCCAUGAUAUCAUGAGGAAGAGUGAAGAGAAUAACACAAUACCGGGAAGCAGUGCAAGAAGGGGCAUGUAUAUGAUCGAUUCAGCAAGAGCAGUGGCAGUUGAUGAUAUGGUGAAGAGAUCAGCGUGCCUGAGUAGAGAUCGAUGCAUAUGCUGCUGCGCUUCAACUUGUUGGAGUGUGGACCAUUAUAUUGCACUGCAUUGCAUACAUGGAUCGAUCAUAUGGACGGGAUGCAGAGAGAGGCAGGCAUGCAGAUGCAGGGGGUGGUACGUACGCAGCUAGUACGUUGCUAUUAUUGUGCCAAAGGAAGGGGACCAAUACACGCAUAAUGCACACACCAGAGCAGAGCUGCAAGCAGGCGAGGGACAAGCCUUGCAGACUCUGGUGGCGGUGGUACAACGUACCACUGCUCAGCUCACUGGCCGGCCCAACGACAAUGCCGCAUGCAGUUAAUAAUAAAGGUGAAAAUUUUCAACUCACCUUACCUACAUAUUAUUACUUCUGCCUUUCUGCAGGCUGCAGGCUGCAGGUCUUUGUGUGUGUUUCUGUUCUCCCACCCUUUACUUGUAGAUCUUUAAUAGUUUCAGUUCACACUGCAUGCAUGCAUCCAUAUAUAUCUGUAAAGCCUGCAAAUUAAUUUAUGUUGGAUUGCCACAUACUUACCUGAUGAUGAUCA